AAAGCUGAGUUCUAGAGCAUCUGCUUUGCAUGCAGAAGGUCCCAGGUUCAAUCCCUUGCAUCUCUA